rnacentral:rRNA from 1 species
AGCGAACGCUGGCGGCAGGCUUAACACAUGCAAGUCGAACGGGCAUCUUCGGAUGUCAGCGGCAGACGGGUAAGUAACACGUGGGAACGUACCCUUCGGUUCGGAACAACUCUGGGAAACUGGAGCUAAUACCGGAUACGCCCUUAUGGGGAAAGGUUUACUGCCGAAGGAUCGGCCCGCGUCUGAUUAGCUAGUUGGUGGGGUAACGGCCUACCAAGGCGACGAUCAGUAGCUGGUCUGAGAGGAUGAUCAGCCACACUGGGACUGAGACACGGCCCAGACUCCUACGGGAGGCAGCAGUGGGGAAUAUUGGACAAUGGGCGCAAGCCUGAUCCAGCCAUGCCGCGUGAGUGAUGAAGGCCUUAGGGUUGUAAAGCUCUUUUGUCCGGGACGAUAAUGACGGUACCGGAAGAAUAAGCCCCGGCUAACUUCGUG